rnacentral:rRNA from 1 species
UACGGAGGGAGCUAGCGUUAUUCGGAAUUACUGGGCGUAAAGCGCACGUAGGCGGCUUUGUAAGUUAGAGGUGAAAGCCUGGAGCUCAACUCCAGAAUUGCCUUUAAGACUGCAUCGCUUGAAUCCAGGAGAGGUGAGUGGAAUUCCGAGUGUAGAGGUGAAAUUCGUAGAUAUUCGGAAGAACACCAGUGGCGAAGGCGGCUCACUGGACUGGUAUUGACGCUGGAGGUGCGAAAGCGUGGGGGAGCAAACAGG